rnacentral:rRNA from 1 species
UACAGAGGCCUCGAGCGUUAGGCGGAAUCACUGGGCUUAAAGCGUGUGUAGGCGGACUUCUAAGUACCUUGUGAAAUCCCACGGCUUACCCGUGGAACGGCUGGGUAUACUGGGAGUCUUGAGCCACCUAGGGGCGAGUGGAACAAAUGGUGGAGCGGCGAAAUGCGUAGAUAUCAUUUGGAACGCCAAUGGUGAAAACAACUCGCUGGGGGUGUGCUGACGCUGAGACACGAAAGCCAGGGGAGCGAACGGG